UACGUAGGGGGCAAGCGUUGUCCGGAAUCAUUGGGCGUAAAGCGCGUGUAGGCGGGUCGUUAAGUCUGCUCUGAAAGUCCAAGGCUCAACCUUGGGAUGCGGGUGGAUACUGGCGACCUCGAGUCCGGAAGAGGCGGGUGGAAUUCCUGGUGUAGCGGUGAAAUGCGCAGAUAUCAGGAGGAACACCAAUGGCGAAGGCAGCCCGCUGGGACGUGACUGACGCUGAGACGCGAAAGCGUGGGGAGCAAACAGG
rnacentral:rRNA from 2 species